CCUCUGAACUCACUUAAAGCUAGACGAAACGCCAGCGUUUCUAUCCUUCUCCAUCUGGAGGAAGAACGCAUCUACAAAGUCUUCUCCUCCAUCAUGAAUGACG
rfam:Oesophagostomum dentatum strain OD-Hann O_dentatum-1.0_Cont730956.1, whole genome shotgun sequence.